rnacentral:tRNA from 1 species
GCGGGGGUUCCCAAGUCAGGACAACGGGGCAGGUCGCCCGAUCCUGUGGCGAAGGCCUUCGUGGGUUCGAAUCCCGCCCCCCGCA